CAGAGGGGGCUAGCGUUGUUCGGAAUUACUGGGCGUAAAGGGCGCGUAGGCGGCCCGCUAAGUCGAACGUGAAAUCCCCGGGCUCAACCCGGGAACUGCGUCCGAUACUGGCGGGCUUGAAUCCGGGAGAGGGAUGUGGAAUUCCAGGUGUAGCGGUGAAAUGCGUAGAUAUCUGGAGGAACACCGGUGGCGAAGGCGGCAUCCUGGACCGGUAUUGACGCUGAGGCGCGAAAGCCAGGGGAGCAAACGGGAUUAGAUACCCCGGUAGUCCUGGCCCUAAACGAUGAAUGCUUGGUGUGGCGGGUAUCGAUCCCUGCCGUGCCGAAGCUAACGCAUUAAGCAUUCUGCCUGGGGAGUACGGUCGCAAGGCUG
rnacentral:rRNA from 1 species